ACCAGACUCCUACGGGAGGCAGCAGUGGGGGAUAUUGCACAAUGGGGGAAACCCUGAUGCAGCGACGCCGCGUGAGUGAAGAAGUAUUUCGGUAUGUAAAGCUCUAUCAGCAGGGAAGAAGAAAGACGGUACCUGAGUAAGAAGCCCCGGCUAACUACGUGCCAGCAGCCGCGGUAAUACGUAGGGGGCAAGCGUUAUCCGGAUUUACUGGGUGUAAAGGGAGCGUAGACGGUAUGGCAAGUCUGAAGUGAAAGCCCCGGGCUCAACCUGGGAACUGCUUUGGAAACUGUUAAACUAGAGUGCUGGAGAGGCAGGCGGAAUUCCUAGUGUAGCGGUGAAAUGCGUAGAUAUUAGGAGGAACACCAGUGGCGAAGGCGGCCUGCUGGACAGUAACUGACGUUGAGGCUCGAAAGCGUGGGGAGCAAACAGGAUUAGAUACCCCGGUAGA
rnacentral:rRNA from 1 species